GGGACACGUGGUAUCCUGUCUGAAUAUGGGGGGACCAUCCUCCAAGGCUAAAUACUCCUGACUGACCGAUAGUGAACCAGUACCGUGAGGGAAAGGCGAAAAGAACCCCGGCGAGGGGAGUGAAAAAGAACCUGAAACCGUGUACGUACAAGCAGUGGGAGCACCUUCGGGUGUGACUGCGUACCUUUUGUAUAAUGGGUCAGCGACUUAUAUUCUGUAGCAAGGUUAACCGUAUAGGGGAGCCGCAGGGAAACCGAGUCUUAACUGGGCGUUAAGUUGCAGGGUAUAGACCCGAAACCCGGUGAUCUAGCCAUGGGCAGGUUGAAGGUUGGGUAACACUAACUGGAGGACCGAACCGACUAAUGUUGAAAAAUUAGCGGAUGACUUGUGGCUGGGGGUGAAAGGCCAAUCAAACCGGGAGAUAGCUGGUUCUCCCCGAAAGCUAUUUAGGUAGCGCCUCGUGAACUCAUCUUCGGGGGUAGAGCACUGUUUCGGCUAGGGGGU
rnacentral:rRNA from 1 species